rnacentral:rRNA from 1 species
AGUGAACGCUGGCGGUAGGCCUAACACAUGCAAGUCGAACGGCAGCACAGUAAGAGCUUGCUCUUACGGGUGGCGAGUGGCGGACGGGUGAGGAAUACAUCGGAAUCUACUUUUUCGUGGGGGAUAACGUAGGGAAACUUACGCUAAUACCGCAUACGACCUACGGGUGAAAGCAGGGGAUCUUCGGACCUUGCGCGAUUGAAUGAGCCGAUGUCGGAUUAGCUAGUUGGCGGGGUAAAGCCCACCAAGGCGACGAUCCGUAGCUGGUCUGAGAGGAUGAUCAGCCACACUGGAACUGAGACACGGUCCAGACUCCUACGGGAGGCAGCAGUGGGGAAUAUUGGACAAUGGGCGCAAGCCUGAUCCAGCCAUACCGCGUGGGUGAAGAAGGCCUUCGGGUUGUAAAGCCCUUUUGUUGGGAAAGAAAAGCAGCAGGUUAAUACCCCGCUGUUCUGACGGUACCCAAAGAAUAAGCACCGGCUAACUUCGU